rnacentral:tRNA from 1 species
CAAGAAAUAGUUUAAGGAUCAUGUCAGUUUUGGGUGCUGAUG